rnacentral:rRNA from 1 species
CGUGUACGUACAAGCAGUGGGAGCCCCACCACUAAGCCAGUGGUGAACUCCACAUACGCAUCCUUUGCUGAGGAUACGGUUAACGGAGCGAAAGCGACGUUCAACCUCAAAAGAAGCAGAGGGGGCUUAGUGGUGGGGUGACUGCGUACCUUUUGUAUAAUGGGUCAGCGACUUAUAUUCUGUAGCAAGGUUAACCGAAUAGGGGAGCCGGAGGGAAACCGAGUCUUAACCGGGCGUUAAGUUGCAGGGUAUAGACCCGAAACCCGGUGAUCUAGCCAUGGGCAGGUUGAAGGUUGGGUAACACUAACUGGAGGACCGAACCGACUAAUGUUGAAAAAUUAGCGGAUGACCUGUGGCUGGGGGUGAAAGGCCAAUCAAACCGGGAGAUAGCUGGUUCUCCCCGAAAGCUAUUUAGGUAGCGCCUCGUGAAUUCAUCUCCGGGGGUAGAGCACUGUUUCGGCUAGGGGGCCAUCCCGGCUUACCAACCCGAUGCAAACUGCGAAUACCGGAGAAUGUUAUCACGGGAGACACACGGCGGGUGCUAACGUCCGUCGUGAAGAGGGAAACAACCCAGACCGCCAGCUAAGGUCCCAAAGUCAUGGUUAAGUGGGAAACGAUGUGGGAAGGCCCAGACAGCCAGGAUGUUGGCUUAGAAGCAGCCAUCAUUUAAAGAAAGCGUAAUAGCUCACUGGUCGAGUCGGCCUGCGCGGAAGAUGUAACGGGGCUAAACCAUGCACCGAAGCUGCGGCAGCGACGCUGAUGCGUUGUUGGGUAGGGGAGCGUUCUGUAAGCCUGCGAAGGUGGCCUGUGAGGGUUGCUGGAGGUAUCAGAAGUGCGAAUGCUGACAUAAGUAACGAUAAAGCGGGUGAAAAGCCCGCUCGCCGGAAGACCAAGGGUUCCUGUCCAACGUUAAUCGGGGCAGGGUGAGUCGACCCCUAAGGCGAGGCCGAAAGGCGUAGUCGAUGGGAAACGGGUUAAUAUUCCCGUACUUGGUGUUACUGCGAAGGGGGGACGGAGAAGGCUAUGUUGGCCGGGCGACGGUUGUCCCGGUUUAAGCGUGUAGGUGUGUGUUCCAGGUAAAUCCGGUUCACUUUAACACUGAGGCGUGAUGACGAGGCACUACGGUGCUGAAGCAACAAAUGCCCUGCUUCCAGGAAAAGCCUCUAAGCAUCAGGUAACAUCAAAUCGUACCCCAAACCGACACAGGUGGUCAGGUAGAGAAUACCAAGGCGCUUGAGAGAACUCGGGUGAAGGAACUAGGCAAAAUGGUGCCGUAACU